rnacentral:rRNA from 1 species
CACGGGGGGAGCAAGCGUUGUUCGGAAUCACUGGGCGUAAAGGGCGUGUAGGCGGCGCGGAAAGUAGGGUGUGAAAUCCCUCGGCUCAACCGAGGAACUGCGCUCUAAACUACCGUGCUCGAGGGAGGUAGAGGUGAGCGGAACUUAGGGUGGAACGGUGAAAUGUGUUGAUAUCCUAAGGAACACCGGUGGCGAAAGCGGCUCACUGGAUCUCUUCUGACGCUGAGGCACGAAAGCUAGGGUAGCGAACGGG